GUCCACGCCCUAAACGAUGUCUACUAGUUGUUGGGGAGUAAAUCCUGGUAACGCAGCUAACGCGUGAAGUAGACCGCCUGGGGAGUACGGUCGCAAGAUUAAAACUCAAAGGAAUUGACGGGGGCCCGGCACAAGCGGUGGAUGAUGUGGUUUAAUUCGAUGCAACGCGAAAAACCUUAACCUACCCUUGACAUGCCAGGAAGCCUGCAGAAAUGCAGGGGUGCCCGAAAGGGAACCUGGACACAGGUGCUGCAUGGCUGUCGU
rnacentral:rRNA from 1 species